rnacentral:ncRNA from 1 species
CGCUCAUCGACAACUCGCUCAGCAAGAAACCCCAGACCGUGCAGAUCGAGGCCACCGACAAGGCGUUCAAGACCGACGGCUGUCAGCCGUGGCAGAUCACCGACGCCCCGGCGCCCGCAGAGCUGCCCGGACCGGCCGCGGGUGGCCAAUUGCAGGCGAACCUCGGCGCCUUGAACGGACUGCUCGGCCCGACCGGCCAGCACGUG